GGGGAUUAGUGGCGAACGGGUGAGUAACACGUGGGCAAUCUGCCCUGCACUCUGGGACAAGCCCUGGAAACGGGGUCUAAUACCGGAUAUGACCGUCUUGGGCAUCCUUGAUGGUGUAAAGCUCCGGCGGUGCAGGAUGAGCCCGCGGCCUAUCAGCUUGUUGGUGAGGUAACGGCUCACCAAGGCGACGACGGGUAGCCGGCCUGAGAGGGCGACCGGCCACACUGGGACUGAGACACGGCCCAGACUCCUACGGGAGGCAGCAGUGGGGAAUAUUGCACAAUGGGCGCAAGCCUGAUGCAGCGACGCCGCGUGAGGGAUGACGGCCUUCGGGUUGUAAACCUCUUUCAGCAGGGAAGAAGCGAAAGUGACGGUACCUGCAGAAGAAGCGCCGGCUAACUACGUGCCAGCAGCCGCGGUAAUACGUAGGGCGCGAGCGUUGUCCGGAAUUAUUGGGCGUAAAGAGCUCGUAGGCGGCUUGUCACGUCGGUUGUGAAAGCCCGGGGCUUAACCCCGGGUCUGCAGUCGAUACCGGCCAGGUAGAGUUCGGUAGGGGAGAUCGGAAUUCCUGGUGUAUCGGUGAAUGCGCAGA
rnacentral:rRNA from 2 species